CCCUUAGAUGUUCUGGGCCGCACGCGCGCUACACUGAUGAAUUCAACGAGCACUAACCUGUGCCGAAAGGUUCGGGUAAUCUUGUGAAAUUUCAUCGUGAUGGGGAUUGAUUAUUGCAAUUUUUAAUCAUAAACGAGGAAUGCCCAGUAAGCGUGAGUCAUCAGCUCACGUUGAUUACGUCCCUGCCCUUUGUACACACCGCCCGUCGCUCCUACCGAUUGAAUGUGCCAGUGAAAAGUUCGGAUUGGAGAUAGGAGACGGCAACGUAUCCUAUUUCCGAGAAAAUCUUUAAACUUUCCCAUUUAGAGGAAGGAGAAGUCGUAACA
rnacentral:rRNA from 1 species